GCCCCCGUUGAUUAGUGGUAAAUCCCCCAUCAGAGGUGGGCGAAUGUGCCUCAUCUGAGUCGAGCAGGAGACGGAGGUUCGAAUCCUCCCGAGGGUA